AUAUUUUUCUCCCUCAAGUGGGCCGAUCAAUAGGCCACCAAAUUGGACUCUCAAAUAUAUGGUAUCAAAUGUUUUUAUUUACUGCACAAUUCCCAAUAUAGAAUGGAUGUAUAAUUAAAUAGGUGUAGUGGUAUUUGAAGAAAUCUCAUUUUUCUUGUUCUCAAAACUAUCGACUAUUUUCCCCAAAAACAGAAGCAUCGCCUUCUUUCUUCAAGUUGAAAAUCGUAGAGAAAUCUCGAGGCAAUAGCUGUACUAUUUGAAAGAAAAGGUUCGAGUGGCAGUAUAGAGUGAACAAGCAAGGUCUUCUACUUCAUUAAGUAUAUUAGGUUAAGCUGUGAUGCAGAUGGUUGCAAGCAGAGCAAAGCACUCGGUGUAUAUAUAUAUAAUUUAGGCUCGGGAUUUCAUGUCCUCAUACAUGUAAUCCACUUGAGUUAUUUCCGCUGCAACACUUAAUGUACUUUACUUUAUUGAUGUGUUGUAGAGAUUUUAAAACAAUAGCUUCGAGAAUUAUAUCACUUAGACAACUUGUCGUUGUGUUAUUGUAAGUUGUCUACUCGUGAGUUUUAAAAGUGAUUGUAUAUGAUUACCAGACAUUAUGGUAAAGUAUUGCUUAAGCAGGAUAAUUAUUUUU